rnacentral:rRNA from 1 species
GACGAACACUGGCGGCAGGCCUAACACAUGCAAGUCGAACGAGUGGCGGACGGGUGAGUAAUGGCUGGGAAACUGCCUGAUGGAGGGGGAUAACUACUGUAAACGGUAGCUAAUACCGCUUACCAUCCUAUGUGCCCACAUGGGAUUAGCUAGUUGGUGGGGUAACGGCUCACCAAGGCGACGAUCCCUAGCCGGUCGGAGAGGAUGACCAGCCAAACUGGAACUGAGACACGGUCCAGACUCCUACGGGAGGCAGCAGUGGGGAAUAUUGCACAAUGGGCGCAAGCCUGAUGCAGCCAUGCCGCGUGUAUGAAGAAGGCCUUCGGGUUGUAAAGUACUUUCAGCGGGGAGGCGUUACCCGCAGAAGAAGCACCGGCUAACUCCGUGCCAGCAGCCGCGGUAAUUC